UUUUCCCCUACAUCCUACUUAAGAUGUGUUCUCCAAUUGAUUUGUCAAUGCUACAAACUCACCAUUCUCUUGUCAAAUGCCAGCAAGCAUGGGAAUAUCAUCUUUCAGGUAGGUUCUGUUGUUCAGCUUCUGCUUUAAGCACUAAUAAAGGCUAAAAUGACCACGUCUUCAGUCACGCUGUAGAAAAUAGAGGGGAUCAUUGUGCUCAUAGAGGAGCUCUGACUGGUAAGACUGCACUUGCAUUGCUCUAUAAGUUAGUCAAAUCAUUUCCCUUUGAGCAUGAAUUAUGUUUUUGCAAAAUGGUAUUAAUCAUUUAUGUUCUGCAUGUUCUAUAGAUGGCUAUUAAGUGUUUGUCAAAAGAUGAAUUAAUAAACAAUAGACAAAUAUGAAGCUAAUUCUUUGAUGGUGUAUGGGCAUUCAUGGAGAAUGUGAUACUAGCUCCAUGAAAUACUACUUUUUAAAGCAAUUUAUUAGGAAUUGGUAGUUCACAUUCUAGCUAUUCUAGAUCAAAGCCUGUAUUUAGAAUCUUUAUUCCUACAGGUUCAAACAAGGACAAUAGCUAUAAGACAG
rnacentral:lncRNA from 1 species